CCUACGGGAGGCAGCAGUGAGGAAUAUUGGUCAAUGGGCGUAAGACUGAACCAGCCAAGUAGCGUGAAGGAUGACUGCCCUACGGGUUGUAAACUUCUUUUAUACAGGAAUAAAGUGCGGCACGUGUGCUGUUUUGUAUGUACUUUAUGAAUAAGGAUCGGCUAAUUCCGUGCCAGCAGCCGCGGUAAUACGGAGGGUCCGAGCGUUAUCCGGAUUUAUUGGGUUUAAAGGGAGCGUAGACGGCUUGUUAAGCCAGGUGUGAAAUGUGGCGGCUCAACCGUAGAAUUGCAAGGGAAACUGGCUUGCUUGAGUGCACUGAAGGUAGGCGGAAUUCGUGGUGUAGCGGUGAAAUGCUUAGAUAUCACGAAGAACUCCGAUUGCGAAGGCAGCUUACGAAACCGCUACUGACGCUGAGGCUCGAAGGUGCGGGUAUCGAACAGGAUUAGAUACCCGUGUAGUC
rnacentral:rRNA from 1 species